GGCCCUAUGGGUUGUAAACUGCUUUUAUACAGGAAGAACUGUAUCUACGUGUAGAUACUUGACGGUACUGUACGAAUAAGGAUCGGCUAACUCCGUGCCAGCAGCCGCGGUAAUACGGAGGAUCCAAGCGUUAUCCGGAAUCAUUGGGUUUAAAGGGUCCGUAGGCGGUUUAAUAAGUCAGAGGUGAAAUCCUGCAGCUCAACUGUAGCAUUGCCUUUGAUACUGUUAGACUUGAGUUAUUGUGAAGUAGUUAGAAUGUGUAGUGUAGCGGUGAAAUGCAUAGAUAUUACACAGAAUACCGAUUGCGAAGGCAGAUUACUAACAAUAUACUGACGCUGAGGGACGAAAGCGUGGGUAGCGAACAGGAUUAGAUACCCUGGUAGUCCACGCCGUAAACGAUGGAUACUAGCUGUUCGAUCAACAUUGGUUGGUUGAGUGGCUAAGCGAAAGUGAUAAGUAUCCCACCUGGGGAGUACGCUCGCAAGAGUGAAACUCAAAGGAAUUGACGGGGGCCCGCACAAGCGGUGGAGCAUGUGGUUUAAUUCGAUGAUACGCGAGGAACCUUACCAGGGCUUAAAUGUACGUUGCAUGAUCUAGAGAUAGAUCUUUCUUCGGACUACGUACAAGGUGCUGCAUGGUUGUCGUCAGCUCGUGCCGUGAGGUGUCAGGUUAAGUCCUAUAACGAGCGCAACCCCUGUCGUUAGUUACCAGCAAGUAAUGUUGGGUACUCUAGCGAGACUGCCGGUGCAAACCGCGAGGAAGGUGGGGAUGACGUCAAAUCAUCACGGCCCUUACGUCCUGGGCUACACACGUGCUACAAUGGCCGGUACAGAGAGCAGCCACUACGCGAGUAGGAGCGAAUCUUCAAAACCGGUCUCAGUUCGGAUCGCAGUCUGCAACUCGACUGCGUGAAGCUGGAAUCGCUAGUAAUCGGAUAUCAGCCAUGAUCCGGUGAAUACGUUCCCGGGCCUUGUACACACCGCCCGUCAAGCCAUGGAAGCUGGGGGUACCUGAAGUCGGUGACCGAAAGGAGCUGCCUAGGGUAAAACUAGUAACUGGGGCUAAGUCGUAACAAGGUAGCCGUACCGGAAGGUGCGGCUGGAACACCUCCUUUCU
rnacentral:rRNA from 1 species